rnacentral:rRNA from 1 species
CCCUUAGAUGUCCUGGGCCGCACGCGCGCUACACUGAUGCAUGCAACGAGUUUAUAACCUUGGCCUGGAAGGUCUGGGUAAUCUUUUGAACGUGCAUCGUGAUAGGGAUAGAUUAUUGCAAUUGUUAAUCUUGAACGAGGAAUUCCUAGUAAACGUGAGUCAUCAGCUCGCAUUGAUUACGUCCCUGCCCUUUGUACACACCGCCCGUCGCACCUACCGAUUGAAUGGUUCGGUGAAGAUCUCGGACUUCGAUAUUUAUUCUUUAUUGAGUUUAUAUUGUGGGAAGUUAUCUAAACCUCAUCAUUUAGAGGAAGGUGAAGUCGUAACA